rnacentral:rRNA from 1 species
UACGGAGGGGACUAGCAUUGUUCGGAUUUACUGGGCGUAAAGCGCGCGUAGGCGGAUCGCUAAGUCAGGGGUGAAAUCCCAGGGCUCAACCCUGGAACUGCCUUUGAUACUGACGAUCUGGAGAUCGGGAGAGGUUGGUGGAAUUCCCAGUGUAGCGGUGAAAUGCGUAGAUAUUGGGAGGAACACCAGUGGCGAAGGCGGCUCACUGGACCGGUACUGACGCUGAAGCGCGAAAGCGUGGGGAGCAAACAGG